rnacentral:tRNA from 1 species
GGGCGAUUAGCUCAGCUGGUUCAGAGCACCUCGUUUACACCGAGGGGGUNNUCGAACCCCUCAUCGCCCACCA